AUAGAGCGAGGACGCUAACAGGAACAAUGACUCAGGAUGAGGGUCAGGAGCGCCAGGAGGCGAAGACAGAGGAUUGUCAGGAAGAUAAACGUCCGGAGACGUAAUUAAAUGGAAAUGGAAUCAACACGGAUUGUUCCGGCUAAUGGAAAAACAGGGUGUGUUGGCGGCCUGCAAGGAUUGUAAGACCCGUUAAGGGUUAUGAGUCAG
rnacentral:sRNA from 1 species